UCGUAUUAACAAAAGUGUGGCAAAAUCACUUUACUGCCAUAGGCUUCAGUUUCUUUAUCAGUAACCUAAGAGUUUAGGUUUGGUUACUUAAAUUUUUUGCCUCUGAGAUAAUAUGAUCUAGGUCUCUGCGUAUGAUGGUAAGUCAGUUCAGAACAGAUCUUUGAACUGAACUAAUAGAAAAUUAACUGAAGGAAGAUAUAUUUAGAGGAAUAGUAUUUAGCAGUUCAUCAAUAGGAGGAAAUUAAGAAAUGAGUUGGUGUAAUGUGAUUUUUUUCCUGCAUAGAAAUUAUCUUUUGUCUUGUUUCAGAAAGAAUGUUAUGAAUGGAUCAACACAUGCUCUCACCUCCUUUCUGAGCUCAAAGACAAAAAAAUGAAAUUCCUGACACAUGAAGUAAAAGAGAAACUACUUGAAGAAGAGGACAUUAUAAAAGAAUUAACUGAGCCUAAAAUAGAAAAGCCUGUUCAAGAGGAUGAAGGAGAAAAUAAGGAGGAUGAGAAACUUCAGAAGGAAGAGGAAGAAGAGAAACCAGAAGAGGUAAGAUUAUGUGCUAGGCAUGGUGGUGCACACCUGUAGUUUCAGCUACUUGGGAAGCUGAGGCAGGAGGAUCCCUUAAACCCAGAAACUGAUUUUGGGCAACGUGGCAAGACCUUGUAUUAUGUAGUAUUGCUUUUUCAUUUCUCCUUCUCUUUUGUAAAACUAGACAUAAGUACCAUGGAAAGUAGAAGUAGGUCAUCUAGAGUGAACUGUUCCUUCUUUUCCCCAUAAAGCUUUAUUCACACCUGCAGGCAC
rnacentral:lncRNA from 1 species